UCCCUGGUGGUCCAGUGGUUAAGACUCCACAUUCUCAAUGUGGGGGGCACAGGUUCAAUCCCUGUUUGGGGAA